GACGAACGCUGGCGGCGUGCUUAACACAUGCAAGUCGAGCGGAGCGGCGAACGGGUGAGUAACGCGUGAGUAACUGCCCCCCUCUCUGGGAUAACAGUUGGAAACGGCUGCUAAUACCGGAUAGUGGGGGAUGACUCGCGUCCUAUCAGCUUGUUGGUGGGGUAGUGGCCUACCAAGGCGACGACGGGUAGCCGGCCUGAGUGGGCGACCGGCCACAUGAAGUUGAGAUGCGGCCCAAACUCCUACGGGAGGCAGCAGUGGGGAAUAUUGCACAAUAGGGGAAACCCAGAUGCAGCAACGCCGCGGGCAGGAUAACGGCCUUCGGGUUGUAACCCGCUUUCAGCCAUGGCGCGGUGGUGGCAGUAGAAGCACCGGCUAACUACGUGCCGGCGGCCGCGGUAAUAC
rnacentral:rRNA from 1 species